rnacentral:rRNA from 1 species
GACAGAGGGUGCUAGCGUUGUUCGGAAUUACUGGGCGUAAAGGGCGCGUAGGCGGUCUGUUAAGUUCGGUGUGAAAUCCCCUGGCUCAACUGGGGAACUGCGCUGGAAACUGGCAGACUCGAGUACCGGAGAGGAGAGUGGAAUUCCUGGUGUAGCGGUGAAAUGCGCAGAUAUCAGGAAGAACACCCGUGGCGAAGGCGGCUCUCUGGGACGGUACUGACGCUGAGACGCGAAUGCGUGGGGAGCGAACAGG